CCCUUAGAUGUUCUGGGCCGCACGCGCGCUACACUGACGAAUGCAACGAGCUUAUAACCUUGGCCGAAAGGUCUGGGUAAUCUCCAAAUUUCGUCGUGAUGGGGAUAGACUUUUGCAAUUUUUGGUCUUCAACGAGGAAUUCCUAGUAAACGCAAGUCAUCAGCUUGCAUUGAUUACGUCCCUGCCCUUUGUACACACCGCCCGUCGCACCUACCGAUUGAAUGGUCCGGUGAAAUCUCGGGACGGCGGCUUGGUCGCUUGCGUCCGACUGCUGAAACUUGAUUAAACCAUAUCAUUUAGAGGAAGGUGAAGUCGUAACA
rnacentral:rRNA from 1 species